UCGCCCUUCCUACGGGAGGCAGCAGUGGGGAAUCUUCCGCAAUGGGCGCAAGCCUGACGGAGCGACGCCGCGUGAGGGACGAAGGCCUUCGGGUUGUAAACCUCUUUUCUGGGGGAAGAACGUUUGGCCUGUUAAUAGCGGGUUGAGUUGACGGUACCCCAGGAAUAAGCCCCGGCUAACUACGUGCCAGCAGCCGCGGUAAUA
rnacentral:rRNA from 1 species